GAUGAACGCUGGCGGCGUGCCUAAUACAUGCAAGUCGAGCGAACAGACGAGGAGCUUGCUCCUCUGACGUUAGCGGCGGACGGGUGAGUAACACGUGGAUAACCUACCUAUAAGACUGGGAUAACUUCGGGAAACCGGAGCUAAUACCGGAUAAUAUAUUGAACCGUAUGGUUCAAUAGUGAAAGACGGUUUUGCUGUCACUUAUAGAUGGAUCCGCGCCGCAUUAGCUAGUUGGUAAGGUAACGGCUUACCAAGGCAACGAUGCGUAGCCGACCUGAGAGGGGGGUAGGCCACACGGGAACGGAGACGCGGUCCAGGCGCCUACGGGAGGCAGCAGUAGGGAAUCUUCCGCAAUGGGCGAAAGCUUGACGGAGCAACGCCGCGUGAGUGAUGAAGAUCUUCGGAUCGUAAAACUCUGUUAUUAGGGAAGAACAAAUGUGUAAGUAACUAUGCACGUCUUGACGGUACCUAAUCAGAAAGCCACGGCUAACUACGUG
rnacentral:rRNA from 1 species